rnacentral:lncRNA from 10 species
GCUUUCAUUUAAGGAUUUGAGUUUGAUGUCUUGCAUACAAUGUGAUCCCACUGUAUGACUACACAAAUGUUGGCAAAAGUGAGUUCAGAGGAAAUGGUAGGCAAGUACUUCCCAGUUUUGGCCAGAAGAUGGAGAAAAAAGAAUUCUCAAAAAAUGUUAAAGGUGUCUACAGAGAAAUAGACAAGUGAUGCACGACAGAUACAUGUGUCAGUCUGGUCCCUGCAGUUGUAUUUGUAAUAAUACACAUUGGAGCAAUUUCAUGGCCAUCGGUUAGAGAAUGUUUGAGGAAUGAUCCAUUCAUAUCAAGAAGGACAUUUCAAAGAUCAAAACCUGAUGGAAAUGCUGGAGACCAUGGCGCUGAUAGGAGCUCAUGCGUGUGGACCAAUUACUACGUGACAGGCAUUGGCUCCAUGCUUUUCCUGCACUGCUCAUUUAAACACUGGACAACCUAAGUGUUCUGAUUUAUCCCAUUGGACAGAUAGAAAUGGAGGCACAGAAGAUUAAUGUGUUUAACUUCAAACCCUGGCAGAUUAGGUUUUUCAUCCAGAGCCUGUGGCUUCACCAUAGCUGUGAUUCACGUUCUGUCAUUCUCCACUUUAGGAAUUUCCAGUAUUCCAAAUAUGAGAAGCUGAGAAAACAAACAACAAACUCAAAACCCUAAAAACCGGAUACGUAAGGGUAGAUGUUUGUUGGGUGUGGAUUAAAAAUGGACUUUUUUUGCCCCAAGCAACAAAGAGGCACCUUAGAAAAUAGACAAGAGACAAGAAGAAGAGAAGCUUUAAGAGAUAUUUGGUCCAAGGAAGAGACUCUUCAGAUGGAAGGUCACGUCAGCUAGAAACAUUAAUAUGACUGGAUGGGCUCAAACCACUGACUUUUCAGUCAACAUCUGACAGCACUAACCCAGUGUUCCAGAGACACUGCUUGUUAAACAGUGAAUGCUGUUGCUCAAUUGUGUCAUCCGUAAUUGUCAAAUAUUGGCAUUUAGUAGCACAAGGAAGUAUUCUCCGUUGCCAAGCUAGAGCACCCA